UCCCCUGUGCUGUAUCGCUAUAAAAACCCCCUUUUGAGACUGCCUUGCCCUCUGCAUCUGUCUACAGCGGCCGCACACGAGCCUGCACGCCUGCGCGGCUUCGAGCCGCACACACACGAGCAGCCCGCGGCGCUGCAGCGCCCUCGCCUGCCACCAAUCACUGCCGGAGCAUUCCCCCCCGCCAUCACCCUUCGUCCGGCCGCGCUCAUAGCCUCGACAUCCGCUGCUUCUGGCGUGAUACGGUCAUACCACCAGGAAAA
rnacentral:misc_RNA from 1 species